rnacentral:lncRNA from 1 species
UGACCGAGUAUCGGUUGAAAGGAGUACUGCCGAAACUGUAACCAAAGGAGGCAUUAUGCUUCCAGAAAAAUCUCAAGGAAAAGUACUGCAAGCGAGUAGUCGCUAUUGGAUCGGGUUCUAAAGAAAAGGGGAGAGAUUCAACCAGUUAGCAUGAAAGUUGAAGAUAAAGUUCUUCUUCAAGAAUAUGGAGGCACCAAAGUAGUUGUAGAUGAUAAGGAUUUUUUUUAUUUGUUUAUUUUUUUUAAGACAGUCUCACUCUGUCGCCCAGGCUGGAGCGCAGUGGCGCGAUCUCGACUCACUGCAACCUUCGUCUCCCGGGUUCAAGCCAUUCUCCUGCCUCAGCCUCACGAGUAGCUGGGAUUACAGGCAUCCGCCACCACGCCCAGCUAAUUUUUUUUGUAUUUUUGGUAGAGACGGGGCUUCACCAUGCUUGCUGGCCAGGCUGGUCUUGAACUCCUGACCUCAGGCGAUUCGCCUGCCUCAGCCUCCCAAAGUGCUAGGAUUACAGGCGUGAGCCACUGUGCCCAGCAGGAUUAUUUCUUAUUUAGAGAUGGUGAC